rnacentral:lncRNA from 1 species
CAAAACAUUGCAUUGAUACAUUAUGGUACAAUAAAAUACAAAAACAAUAUUAAUACACAAUAUAUACAAAAUUUAACAUAGAACAGGUAGGAAAUAUAUAAUCAACCAUGACACAUGCAUUCUGUUUUGAGGUAUGUAGAGAGGGAUCUCUUAAAGGACUUUAGGCUUGGGGAAGAUUUUAAAGUGUGCGGGAGGUCGUUCCACAAUUGCGGCGCUCUGUAGGAGAAGGAGGAUUGGGCCGCUUUCUUUUUGUAUUGAGGUAGACUAAAUAAAGUGCUGGUACUGGAUCGGAGGUUAUAGGAGGUGGGAAUAGCCGAGGAGAGCAUUCUGCUCAGGUAGGGUGGGAGUUUCCCAGAAAAGUUCUUAAACAUAAG